CGUAGGGGGCAAGCGUUGUCCGGAUUUAUUGGGCGUAAAGCGCUCGCAGGUGGUCCGUUGCGUCGUGCGUGAAAGACCCCGGCUCAACCGGGGGUGGUCGUGCGAUACGGGCGGACUGGAGGCCAGUAGGGGGAUGCGGAAUUCCGGGCGUAGUGGUGGAAUGCGUAGAGAUCCGGAGGAACACCAGCGGCGAAGGCGGCAUCCUGGACUGGUCCUGACACUCAGGAGCGAAAGCGUGGGGAGCGAUCCGGAUUAGAUACCCGGGUAGUCCACGCCGUAAACGAUGAGCACUAGGUGUCGGGGGUAUCGACCCCCUCGGUGCCGCAGCUAACGCGAUAAGUGCUCCGCCUGGGGACUACGGCCGCAAGGCUA
rnacentral:rRNA from 1 species